rnacentral:rRNA from 1 species
GCAAGUUGCGCCCGAAGCCAAUAGGCCGAGGGCACGUCUGGCUGGGUGUCACA